GGUUGACCUCGGAUCAGGUAGGGAUACCCGCUGAACUUAAGCAUAUCAAUAAGCGGAGGAAAAGAAACCAACCGGGAUUGCCUCAGUAACGGCGAGUGAAGCGGCAAGAGCUCAAAUUUGAAAGCUGGCCCCUUCGGGGUCCGCGUUGUAAUUUGCAGAGGAUGCUUCGGGUGCGGCCCCUGUCUAAGUGCCCUGGAACGGGCCGUCAGAGAGGGUGAGAAUCCCGU
rnacentral:rRNA from 1 species